GAUGAACGCUGGCGGCGUGCCUAAUACAUGCAAGUCGAGCGAACGGACGAGAAGCUUGCUUCUCUGAUGUUAGCGGCGGACGGGUGAGUAACACGUGGAUAACCUACCUAUAAGACUGGGAUAACUUCGGGAAACCGGAGCUAAUACCGGAUGAUAUUUUGAACCGCAUGGUUCAAAAGUGAAAGACGGUCUUGCUGUCACUUAUAGAUGGAUCCGCGCUGCAUUAGCUAGUUGGUAAGGUAACGGCUUACCAAGGCAACGAUGCAUAGCCGACCGGAGAGAGUGAUCGGCCACACUGGAACUGAGACACGGUCCAGACUCCUACGGGAGGCAGCAGUAGGGAAUCUUCCGCAGUGGGCGAAAGCCUUACGGAACAACGCCGCGUGAGUGAUGAAGGUCUUCGGAUCGUAAAACUCUGUUAUUAGUGAAGAACAGAUGUCGAAGUAACUGUGCACAUCUUGACGGUACCUAAUCAGAAAGCAACGGCUAACUACGUG
rnacentral:rRNA from 1 species